GAACGCUAGCGGGAGGCCUAAUACAUGCAAGUCGAACGGGUGAAUUAGCUUCGGUUGGUUCACUAGUGGCGCACGGGUGAGUAACGCGUACGCAAUCUGCCCUAUGCUGGGGAAUAGCCCCUGGGAAACUGGGAGUAAUACGCCAUAGAUCUGUGGAUUCGCAUGGAUUUUACAGAUAAAGCUGCGGCGGCAUAGGAUGAGCGUGCGUCUGAUUAGGUAGUUGGUGAGGUAACGGCUCACCAAGCCGACGAUCAGUAAGGGGCGUGAGAGCGUGGCCCCUCACACGGGUACUGAGACACGGACCCGACUCCUACGGGAGGCAGCAGUAAGGAAUAUUGGACAAUGGGCGCAAGCCUGAUCCAGCCAUCCCGCGUGCUUGAUGAAGGCCCUCUGGGUUGUAAAGAGCUUUAGUCUGGGAAGAAACCGUUUUCUGCGGAAGACGCUGACGGUACCAGAAGAAUAAGCACCGGCUAACUCCGUGCCAGCAGCCGCGGUAAUACGGAGGGUGC
rnacentral:rRNA from 1 species